CUUUUUCAUCCCUGCAUCUCCCCUUCGCAACCUUCCUCAUCAUCCUCUUAUCCAUGAACUUCAGCUCUGCAUCUCCGUUCCAGUGCUUCGAUCUUCCUAAUACUGCAUCUACAACCAAAGAUCUGCCCUGUUUAUCUGCUUCCACUCCCCCUAUUGAGUAGUACUACAUUCAAAGGUGAAGGUAUAGAUGAAUAUGAGACUCAAUUCUUUGUUCUUUUGAACGUUUGGAUUAUAAUGGCACAAGUCUUUACUAUGAAUGCACAAUUGUUGAGGUAUAGACAACAACAAUGGAGACAACGGGAAAUAGCUAGUUUAGAGCAGAGGACAUUUGUUAGCCUUUAUGUUAGGAGAGAGGAAAUAAAUCGUAUCACACAAUUGAGUGAUACUAUUGAGUGAUACUAACUGUUUGUGGGAGCUGCAAGUGGAUAAGAAUGCAUUUGCAGCUUUAUGUGAUUUACUACAAAUUCGUGAUGGGUUGGUAGAUGAUGGUCAUGUUACAAUAGAGGAGUAAGUAGCUACUUUUGUUAACAUAUUAGCCCACCACAAUAAAAACAGGUCAAUGCAAGUUAGAUUCAUUAGGUCUAGUGAAACUAUUAGUCGGUAUAUUAGCAGAGUAUUGUGUGCGUUGCUCAAUUUGCAAGACGUGUUUUUUGCAAAACCAACUCCUAUCCCAGAGGAUUGCACGGAAUUGAGAUGGAAAUGCUUUAAGGUAAGCAUCAUAGUAAAAUCAUUAAUAACAAAAUUAUUUGUAGUUGGUAAUUAAUAUAAGUUUUUCUUUUGUCUAGGGUUGCUUAGAAGCGCUAGAUGGAACAUACAUAGAGGUCACUGUGCCUGAGGUUGAUAGACCAAGAUAUAGAACAAGGAAAGGUCAUAUAGCAACUAAUGUGUUAGGUGUAUGCACACAUGACCUCAAAUUCGUAUAUGUGUUAUCCGGUUGGGAAGGAUUAGCUACUGAUUCAAAAGUUCUUGGUGACGCUGUUACUAGAACUAAUGGCCUCAAGGUCCCAACCGGUAAGAUAGACAAGUAUCUAGUAUUCUUCCUUACUUUUGUUGGCCAAGAACUAAAAUUUAUUAUCAACUAAUAUAGGUACAUACUAUUUGGUUGAUUCUGGAUAUACGAAUGGUGAGGGUUUUCUGGCACCGUAUAGAGGCACUAGAUACCAUUUGCAAGAGUGGGAAGACAAUUCACGUGCACCUAGGAGUCAUGAAGAAUAUUUUAAUAUGAAACACUCAUGUGCUAGGAAUGUCAUUGAGAGAUGUUUUGGCCUCCUCAAAAGACGUUGGGCUAUCUUGCGAAGUCCUUCUUACUAUCUAAUCAAGAUUCAGGGACGAAUGAUCACCGCAUGUAAUUUACUUCAUAAUUUUAUCAGAAUGUAUAUGGCGGUUGCAUUUGAUGAAUUGCCUAUAGGGGAAGAUUUACCAGAAGUAUUAGCUUACAUUGAAACCGUUGAGUCAAGCCAGACAUGGACUUAAUGGAGGGAUGAUCUUGCAAGAGAAAUAUAUGAUGAGUGGAGAGGAAGGAGGGCUUGAAAAUUGGUUGACAUGGUAGUUGUUGUAAUUGUCUUUUAUUGUUUGAUGACAUUUUACUGAGAUGAUUGCUGUA